rnacentral:tRNA from 1 species
UGUGCCCGUAAGUUAAUAGAAGACCUUCGGUCUCCAAAACCGAGUAUCAUGGUGCAAGUCCAUGCGGGCAUGU